AGAUUGAACGCUGGCGGCAUGCCUAACACAUGCAAGUCGAGCGGCAGCGCGGGGGCGACCCUGGCGGCGAGCGGCGGACGGGUGAGUAAUGCUUCGGAAUCUACCCACGGGUGGGGAAUAACCAACCGAAAGGUUGGCUAAUACCGCAUAAGUCCUACGGGGGAAAGCGGGGGAUCGAAAGACCUCGCGCCGGUGGAUGAGCCGAAGCCGGAUUAGCUAGUUGGUAGGGUAAUGGCCUACCAAGGCGACGAUCCGUAGCUGGUCUGAGAGGACGACCAGCCACACUGGGACUGAGACACGGCCCAGACUCCUACGGGAGGCAGC
rnacentral:rRNA from 1 species